UUUAUGUUAAAAAAUAAAGUAUAGAAACUAAAAUUUAAUCAUUUUGUUAAAAGGAUAUAAAGAUUAAAGUUUAGUUGUAACUUGUAGGCAUAAUAGAGGGAUAAAAUGAUAUUCGACCAUUUUUAUAUAAAAAUAAAUACAUAUUACAUAAUACAUAAUAGCAUAAUACCGAACUCAUAUAUUGCACGAGAUAAUAAACUAGUUAUUUAACUAUACUAGUAGCCUUGUAAUACAAGAUCAAACUUGUCACAUGUCUUUAAGUAAUACUAAAAGAACACACAAAAUUCAAAUGAAAAGUCGCUAAGGUUGACUGUUUUGAAGGAAAGGGUGUGAGAUAGUGAUAUUAGCAACCUGCCUGGGCUUGCUAUUUUUUCUGCCUCACUAAUUAGCUUGUUUCUGCAAUAAAACAAAGCAAACACAAAAAAAAAAGAGAGAUUAAAUAAAACAACAAAGCAAACACAACUACUAUAUCAAACUAAUGAAAACAAAUGUAACAGUUCGUUUGAGAUUUUCCAAUUCGUUUAGACCAUAACGAAUUGGAAUAUGAAUGAAAACAAAUCUCAAACAAAUAUUUAGACCAUAAAUGUAACGGUAAGUUGGUAAUAACCUGCAAUUUAUUACUCCCUAGCUUUCUCUUAAUUAAUCAUUCAAUUGAUGCUGGAACUAGUUAAAUGAAAAUAAAUGAACUAAUUUCAGCCCCCGCUUAAAUAAAUAUUUUUUUUUUCUGCGAGGGAUGCAAUGAGCUUCAGGUUUCAACUACUUAUGAUUGUGUCUACACUAACAUAAAGUUCAGGCUACCAAAUAUAAGCAAACAAAGCUCUUGCAAGUCAGUGGUAGUAAGAAUGCAUUAUUACCAAUAAAAAUUCAUUAGCUUUUCAAAACUGAAAUAAUAAAAAAGAAAAAGAAGGUGACAACAAAGACAUAAAAGGAAGGUCCAUGAGACUCUGACAAUUGAUUUAUAAUAUGAUUCAUCCUUAGCAAAUUAUAAGGCAACUGAAUGACUAGGUUAACAAGAAAAUAAGCGAAAUUAGGAAUCCAUAGCUCUUUCCACACAAAGAGCUUAAUCAAGACUUAAGGCAUCAUGUAUUAAUGCAUGAAUGAUGUGUACUGGCACCAACCUGCCAGAAUAUAAUAUUAAAACAAACUAUAAUCAUAUAUGCCAGGAUCUUUACACCAGACCAAGUUUUAUCUACUCUCUGCUACAUAUAUGUGCUUUGAACCAUCAUUACAGUAACAUGUUUGUAUUGGGUUUUUAGACAACUCAUUUCAGAAUGGCUAGAAUAAUCUAAUAAUAAUUUCAAUGAAAUACCCUUGAGUAGGUGUCUUUUUUUUAUCAUAAAGAGGAUCACAGUUCAUAAAUAAAUAAACUUACAGUUAAAUAAGCAAACAUCAUAUUCCAAUUCGUUUGAGAUUUUCCAUUCAUUGUUACUGGUUCGUCAUAGCUUAAACACUGACAAUUUCGAUGGCCUUAAACUCAUUUUCUCAACCUCAUUUUGUGUUGAUACCAUUUAUGUGCCAGGACACCUUCAAGCCAUAAAUAUGGCAACAUUAACAGCAAAAAUAAAAAACACAACCAUUAACAGCAUUAACAGUAAAAUCAAAAUUAGAACACCAUUAACAGUAAAAAUCAAAAUCACAACCAACAUCAAAAAGCAAAAAAGGGAGAAAACGUUAAAAAAUUAGGAAACCGUUAACAGAUAACUCACAUUUGAAGACGUUGAAGGCUAGAUUCGCUGGAAGCACCGUUAGAGCGGAGGUGGAGUCGUGGAGGACCGGUCACCGGAGGUGGAAUGGUGGGUCGGGCGAGGUGGGUUUUCGAUUUGGGGGAAAAAAAAGGGAAGGGAAUUUAGGGAUUUGUCUCUGAAGAAAAAAAAGGGUAGGGAAGGGUGUCGGGGAAAUGGGGAGGGGAAUUGGGAAA
rnacentral:lncRNA from 1 species